rnacentral:rRNA from 1 species
CUCUCGGAUUGUAACCCCUUUCAGUAGGGACGAAGCGCAAGUGACGGUACCUGCAGAAGAAGCACCGGCUAACUACGUGCCAGCAGCCGCGGUAAUACGUAGGGUGCGAGCGUUGUCCGGAAUUACUGGGCGUAAAGAGCUCGUAGGCGGUUUGUCACGUCGUCUGUGAAAUCCCUCGGCUUAACCGGGGGCGUGCAGGCGAUACGGGCAGACUUGAGUACUACAGGGGAGACUGGAAUUCCUGGUGUAGCGGUGAAAUGCGCAGAUAUCAGGAGGAACACCGGUGGCGAAGGCGGGUCUCUGGGUAGUAACUGACGCUGAGGAGCGAAAGCAUGGGUAGCGAACAGGAUUAGAUACCCUGGUAGUCCAUGCCGUAAACGGUGGGCGCUAGGUGUGGGGUCCUUCCACGGACUCCGUGCCGUAGCUAACGCAUUAAGCGCCCCGCCUGGGGAGUACGGCCGCAAGGCUAAAACUCAAAUGAAUUGACG